rnacentral:rRNA from 1 species
ACGCUCGACACCUACGGGAUGCAGCAGUGAGGAAUAUUGGUCAAUGGGCGCAGGCCUGAACCAGCCAAGUAGCGUGAAGGAUGACUGCCCUAUGGGUUGUAAACUUCUUUUAUAUGGGAAUAAAGUUUUCCACGUGUGGAAUUUUGUAUGUACCAUAUGAAUAAGGAUCGGCUAACUCCGUGCCUGCAGCCGCGGUAAUCUGAGCGGGCUGGCAAGGC